CGCUGGAUAGCUCAACUGGUAGAGCAGCAAACUCUGAAUUUGCGUGUCGGGGGUUCGAUUCCCCCUCCAACCC
rnacentral:tRNA from 1 species